GAAACUGCAGAUUGGAGAGAUUUCCAAGUUGUUGAGGUAUCAUUCCGCCGAUUCGAGUUCCAGAAAAAUUGAGAUACCGUAGAUUUCCCAUGGAGCCAACAAAUCUAGGAAUUUGAUCACCUUGGAAAUCAUUGAAGCUCAAGUCCAGGUAACUCAAAUGCUUUAAAUCAAGCAAAGAAGGAUUUAUCUUACCAACAAGCGCUGUCCCCCGAAUAGCGUCAUAUUCAGACUCCUUGGAAUAAUUGAAAGGAUUUCGAAGGUCGAGGUGAAGCACAUGGCCGGUCAUGUUGUCACAGACAACACCAGUCCAUGCUCAACAAUCUCCGCUGCCAGUCCAAGAAGCAAGCCUGUUAGAAGGGUCUUUAAGAUCUCGCUUGAGCCUUAAAAGUGCUCCUCUCUCACUUUCAAGGCAACCCCCGUGAUAAGAACUUCCGUUGCAGAAGCUAAUGCUAAUGGUUGCUAUGGCAAGUAUUUCAAAGAGAAAUAAGGCAAAAACAAGGACACAGCUCAUGUUCGGUUUCAUUGCUAUAUGCAGUAAUGAAGAAAAUGUGAAAGAAUGUUAUCAAUGGCAUUGCUAUUUAUAAUGAAGGGAGAUUGCAAAUUUUCCCCCUACAGUAAUCAACAUAUACCAUUUUUAUCUCUGUUGUUUUUAUAAUGGUCAAAAACCUCCUUAAUAGCAUAAGUUUAUAAUAUUACCCUUAUUUUCAACUACUUUUUUAUUUAUAUUUAUUAUAAAUUAAAUAAAUCACAUGAAUAGAAACUAAAUAAAAAAUUAAGCAUUAAAAACAAGAAAUAUAUGUUUUGAUAUGAAAAAAAAAUUAAUAAUAAAUUUUUUUAUACUUAUUUAUUUUGUGAAAAUUUUCUUAUAAUAAAUAUAUAAGAAAAUUAUUAGUAAAAUGAUAAAAAAAUUAUUAUAAGAAAACUUGAUUGACAAAUAAAAAUUUAUUAUAAAGGCGGAUGUACGGUACAGCAGAGAAAAUUAUUAGUAAAAUGAUAAAAAAAUUAUUAUAAGAAAAUUUGAACAACAAAUAAAAAUUUAUUAUAAGAUAAAUAAUAAAAUAUUUUGCCUAUACUUUUUACAUUUGAUUUUAAAAUAUUACAAAAUGUUUAUUAUAAGAAAAUGUUCACAAAAUAAAUAAUUACAAUAAAAAAUUUUAUUAUGAAUUUUUUUGCUCAUAUCAAAAUAUAUAUUUUUUGUUUUUAAUACUUAAUUUUUUUAUUUAGUUAAUAUUCAUGUAAUUUAUUUAAUUUAUAAUAAAUGUAAAUAAAAGAGUAGUUAAAAAUAAGGGUAAUAUUGUAAACUUAUGUUGUUAGGGGAGUUUUUAGCCAUUAUAAAAAUAAAAAGAGAGUAAAUGGUAUAUGUUAAUUACUGUAGGGGGAAAAGUGUCAAUCCCCCUAUAAUGAAUUGUAAUUUUUAUGAACAAUGCCAAUACACUCUUGCAGAUAACGUUAACUUUAUUUACAUCUAUUUGAUCGUGGGCCACGUAAAUAUCUUUCGCACAAUCAAUUUCAAUAAUACCCUACUUUCUACGGAAACGAUUGUAAGUUAAUUUAAUAAUGGUGGAGCUAUUUGAAUUUUGAGCCCACCAAUUUCCUUUAAAAAAUUGGCUCAGACGUUAUUAUAAAAACAAUAAUAAAAUAACAAAAUAGAUGGCCAAUAAUGGUCUGGGGGGAAAAUUGACAAUCUUUACAUGAUUAAUGGCUCCAUAUUUUUACAAUGUAAAAUUAUUGAUGUGUGUGAAAUGGUACCAUAUAGGGACAUUAACGAAAUUUUGUUGACAAGGCUGGUGUGCUCUAUCAAUCAAUCUCAAUAUAGCAAUAUCUCUCUAUAGUUAUAAUAUUAGGACCAAAUUAGUUAAUUGCAAUGAAGAGAUUAUAACUUAAUACAUGAGUAGUUACGAAAAUUAUUGUUUUAACUUAUUUAUCCUUAGUGCAAGAAUAUAGAGGUAAAGUAUGUAAUACAUUAAUAAUUUAUUAAUGGAGCAUAUCAAAUCCAAAUAUAUCAAAAAAUUAGUUCAAUGUAUCUAUGCACUAUUAUUAGGAAUAUUAAAGUCAUCUUAAAAAACUCUAAUUAUUUGCAUUCUCUUCAUUAAUUAUCUCUCAUUGUGUAGUUGUACUAUCUGGAAGUAAGUUCCUUUAAUAUAACAUAACAUAUAUUUUUACGGUACAUUAAUAAUUAUUACUAAGUGGAGGCAAGUUUCUUAAAAUGGGAUCUAAAAAUUCUUAAAAUCGGAUUAAAAAACUAUAAUUUAUUAUAAUAUGCAGUUUAUUCUUAUUUAUAACUGGCCUAAACUGAAAUCAAAAUUUUUUAUUAUUAACUAAAAAUUAAUUCUAUAUAGAGUAUUACUAUCGGGAAAUUUUGCCAUACUUAUAUCUUAUUCAGCAAAUCAACAUGCAUUUGAAUUUGAAAUUCAUAAUUUGGAAAGAAGUAACCAGAAUCUUAGUUUCCUGCAUAAUCGAAUGGGAAAAGGCCACCCACAACCGUAAGGUUUUGUUAAGUGGUCACAUAAACCCCCUUUCGUUUCAUAAAUGGUCAGAUAGACACCUUAAUUUCAUAAAUGAUUAUUAUACCCUUUGAUUAUAACAACCCGAAUUAAUAUAAAUACAAUAAUAAGAUAAAAAUAAAAAAUAUAUAUCAUAUGAUAUAAAUAAAAAAUUACAAUAAGUGUAUUUAAUAAAAUUGCCUAUAUAAUGAAUUAUCUUAAAUAUUAAGUUGUUAUUAGACUAUCCUGAUGGAAUUUAUUAAUACUAAAAUAUAUUAAUCCAAAAAUUAAUUUUAAUAUAUUAUACUGAUAGACAAUUAAAAAAGACAUAGUCAAUCGAAUAAUAUACAAUUUAUAAAUAACUAUGAAUAUUAUGUAUAGUUAUUUUAACAUUAUUAAUAUGUCAAAUAGAUUUUAUUAUUAUUAAAAGAAUAUGACAGAUUAAUGAUGUUAAAAUAACUUUUCUAAUAUUCCAAAUAAUUUAUACAUUUGAUCUUAAUUUAUACAUUAUAUUUUUUUUGCAUUUUAAUUUUUAUUUAUUAUAAAAGUUUAUUUAAAAUGAAUAUUGAAUUGUUGUAAUAAAAGUUUAUUUAAAGUGAAUAUUGAAUAGUUGUAAUCAAGGGUAUAACGGUUAAAAAAAGACUUGAUUUUAAUAUAUUAUACUGAUAGACAAUUAAAAAAGACAUAGUCAAUCGAAUAAUAUACAAUUUAUAAAUAACUAUGAAUAUUAUGUAUAGUUAUUUUAACAUUAUUAAUAUGUCAAAUAGAUUUUAUUAUUAUUAAAAGAAUAUGACAGAUUAAUGAUGUUAAAAUAACUUUUCUAAUAUUCCAAAUAAUUUAUACAUUUGAUCUUAAUUUAUACAUUAUAUUUUUCGAGAUCUAAAAUCUUUAAUUGGGAAGCAGAUUUCAAAAAUCUAAUGGGAAAAAUAUCUGAAAUUCUUGAGUUGACUAAAUCUAGAAACUGUAAAUGCCUUUGUGAAUUAAGCCAUAGAGGAAAUCGAGACCCUAUAUAACAACUAUGCAAUCCUAAUGCAACAAGUUGGAAAGGAGGAAUCCAAUCAUGGUUCACUUCCAACGUCAAUUGGUUUCCACCUACUCUGAACCAUGACAGUUCUGUCAGAUUGGCAAAGUGAAGUUCAGAAAGUGUUCCGUUUAACUUAUUAUCUUAUAUCUGUAGUUCUCUCCAGGUUGAGAGUUGACCAAAUGACUCUGGAAUAGGACCAACAAUUGAAUUAUUAGCAAGAUUAAGAGUGACGAGAUUUCUAAAUUGGCCAAGCUGAUCAGUCAAAUGACCAUAUAUUGAACUACUCCGCAUAUCUAAACUCUCUAGUCCAUUAGAAACACAUCCCGAGAAAAUAUCUAAAAUCUCAGAAAUUUCUUGGCUCACAUGGACACCCCGAAGAUUGAUUGACUUUAAAUUACAAAGACUUGCCAUGGAUCUUGGAAUUCUCCCUGCAAGACCAGUAUUUAAUGAGAGAUCGAGCCGACUGAUGGAAGUCAAGUUUCCAAGAGCCUCUGAGUCAAUUGUACCUUGCAAUUUAUUGUUGCGAAGACUAAGGUACUCAAGAUGGAUGAAUCUAUACAACCAGUUGGGAAUUGAAGAGUUGAAGUAGUUGGAAUCUAAACCCAGAUGUUUAAGGGAAGUCAGGUUUUGAAGUCCCCCAGGAAUUGGACCUUGAAAAUUAUUAAAACCUAGGUCAAGAAAGAGCAAAUGACUUAGACCAAAGACCCAACUAGGAAUGAACGAGUUAUCAAAUUGGUUGUGGGAAAGGUCAAGCACUGUGAGAGACGAAAAAUUUGCGGUGGCUAAUGGAGAGAAGUGUUGGAGUUGGCAAUUUGACAAUCUUAAUUCUACCAAAGAAGGGAGUUUGUUUGCUACCAUCAGCCAAUCAAAGGCUUUGCUAAGAUUCACAGAACGCAAAUCGAGGUGUUCCAGGACAGAAAGACCAGAGAGCCACAAAAUAUUGUCAACGUACAAUAAAUAAUUUGAACUAAGGUCAAGAAACUGCAGAUUGGAGAGAUUUCCAAGUUGUUGAGGUAUCAUUCCGCCGAUUCGAGUUCCAGAAAAAUUGAGAUACCGUAGAUUUCCCAUGGAACCAACAAAUCUAGGAAUUCGAUCACCUUGGAAAUCAUUGAAGCUCAAGUCCAGGUAACUCAAAUGCUUUAAAUCAAGCAAAGAAGGAUUUAUCUUACCAACAAGCGCUGUCCCCCGAAUAGCGUCAUAUUCAGACUCCUUGGAAUAAUUGAAAGGAUUUCGAAGGUCGAGGUGAAGCACAUGGCCGGUCAUGUUGUCACAGACAACACCAGUCCAUGCUCAACAAUCUCCGCUGCCAGUCCAAGAAGCAAGCCUGUUAGAAGGGUCUUUAAGAUCUCGCUUGAGCCUUAAAAGUGCUCCUCUCUCACUUUCAAGGCAAC
rnacentral:lncRNA from 1 species